AGCGAACGCUGGCGGCAGGCCUAACACAUGCAAGUCGAGCGCCCGUAGCAAUACGGGAGCGGCAGACGGGAGAGUAACACGUGGGAACGUACCCUUCAGUUCGGAACAACCCAGGGAAACUUGGGCUAAUACCGAAUACGUCCGUAAGGAGAAAGAUUUAUCGCUGAAGGAUCGGCCCGCGUCUGAUUAGCUAGUUGGUGAGGUAAUGGCUCACCAAGGCGACGAUCAGUAGCNGGUCUGAGAGGAUGAUCAGCCUCAUUGGGACUGAGACACGGCCCAAACUCCUACGGGAGGCAGCAGGUGGGGAAUAUUGGACAAUGGGCGCAAGCCUGAUCCAGCCAUGCCGCGUGGAUGAUGAAGGCCUUAGGGUUGUAAAGUCCUGUCAUUGAGAACAAGGUGCAACCGGUUAUGCCGGUGCAUUGAUAGUAUCAGAAGAGGAAGAGACGGCUAACUCUGUGCCA
rnacentral:rRNA from 1 species